GAUGAACGCUGGCGGCGUGCCUAAUACAUGCAAGUCGAGCGAACGGACGAGAAGCUUGCUUCUCUGAUGUUAGCGGCGGACGGGUGAGUAACACGUGGAUAACCUACCUAUAAGACUGGGAUACUUCGGGAAACCGGAGCUAAUACCGGAUGAUAUUUUGAACCGGAUGGUUCAAAAGUGAAAGACGGUCUUGCUGUCACUUAUAGAUGGAUCCGCGCUGCAUUAGCUAGUUGGUAAGGUAACGGCUUACCAAGGCAACGAUGCAUAGCCGACCUGAGAGGAGGCCCGGCCACACGGACACAGAUCCACGACCCAGCCCCCAAGGGGGGGAACCAGUGGGAAAUCUUCCGCAAGGGGCGAAACCCUGACGGAGCAACGCCGCGUGAGUAAUGAAGUUCUUGGAAUCUAAAACCUUUUUAAUGGGGAAAAAAAAUAUGUAUAAGUAACUGUACACACCUUGACGGUACCUAAUAAAAAAGCCACGACUAACUACGUG
rnacentral:rRNA from 1 species